rnacentral:rRNA from 1 species
CUACGGGCGGCAGCAGUGGGGAAUAUUGCACAAUGGGCGCAAGCCUGAUGCAGCCAUGCCGCGUGUAUGAAGAAGGCCUUCGGGUUGUAAAGUACUUUCAGCGGGGAGGAAGGGAGUAAAGUUAAUACCUUUGCUCAUUGACGUUACCCGCAGAAGAAGCACCGGCUAACUCCGUGCCAGCAGCCGCGGUAAUACGGAGGGUGCAAGCGUUAAUCGGAAUUACUGGGCGUAAAGCGCACGCAGGCGGUUUGUUAAGUCAGAGGGGAAAUCCCCGGGCUCAACCUGGGAACUGCAUCUGAUACUGGCAAGCUUGAGUCUCGUAGAGGGGGGUAGAAUUCCAGGUGUAGCGGUGAAAUGCGUAGAGAUCUGGAGGAAUACCGGUGGCGAAGGCGGCCCCCUGGACGAAGACUGACGCUCAGGUGCGAAAGCGUGGGGAGCAAACAGGAUUAGAUACCCGAGUAGUC